rnacentral:rRNA from 1 species
CUACCUCGUAGGAUCAGCGACACCAAGUCUGCAGCGUUUACACCCUGGACUACCCGGGUAUCUAAUCCGGUUUGCGCCCCAGGGCUUCGUCCCUCACUGUCAGAGCCGUUCUAGUGUARCGCCUUCGCCACUGGUCCUCCCCGCAAGGAUUACAGGAUUUUACCCCUACCCCUCAGAGUAGCYUACACCUCUCCCGGUCUCKAGUCUGCCGGUCUACCCGGAAUUCGAUACGUUGAGCGCAUCGAUUUACCCAGGCAUCUAACMAACCAGACUACGGACGCUUUAGGCCCAAUAAUAAUGACCACCACUUGAGCUGCGGGUAUUACCGCGGCGGCUGGCACCCGUCUUACCCAGCUCUUACUUCCCSAGUUACGAACACUGGAGGACAGCCAACACAUAGUGCUGGCACUUGGGUUUCCCGCAUCGUGGUUUCCCACAUUGUGCAGUUUUCGCGCCUGCUGCGCCCCGUAGGGCCUGGAA